ensembl:snRNA U6 U6 spliceosomal RNA
AUGCUUGCUUGAGCAGUGCAUAUAGUAAGAUAGGAAUGAAACAGAGAAGAAUAACAUAACCCAUGUGAAAAGAAAAUAAAUCAAUCUAUUAAAUGCCACAUAUUUUU